GACGAACGCUGGCGGCGUGCCUAAUACAUGCAAGUAGAACGCUGAAGGAGGAGCUUGCUUCUCCGGGUGAGUUGCGAACGGGUGAGUAACGCGUAGGUAACCUGCCUGGUAGCGGGGGAUAACUAUUGGAAACGAUAGCUAAUACCGCAUAAGAGUAGAUGUUGCAUGACAUUUGCUUAAAAGGUGCAAUUGCAUCACUACCAGAUGGACCUGCGUUGUAUUAGCUAGUUGGUGGGGUAACGGCUCACCAAGGCGACGAUACAUAGCCGACCUGAGAGGGUGAUCGGCCACACUGGGACUGAGACACGGCCCARACUCCUVCGGGAGGCAGCAGUAGGGAAUCUUCGGCAAUGGACGGAAGUCUGACCGAGCAACGCCGCGUGAGUGAAGAAGGUUUUCGGAUCGUAAAGCUCUGUUGUAAGAGAAGAACGAGUGUGAGAGUGGAAAGUUCACACUGUGACGGUAUCUUACCAGAAAGGGACGGCUAACUACGUGC
rnacentral:rRNA from 1 species